ACGAACGCUGGCGGCGUGCUUAACACAUGCAAGUCGAACGGAAAGGCCCUGCUUGCAGGGUACUCGAGUGGCGAACGGGUGAGUAACACGUGGGUGAUCUGCCCUGCACUUCGGGAUAAGCCUGGGAAACUGGGUCUAAUACCGGAUAGGAGCCAUUUUUAGUGUGAUGGUUGGAAAGUUUUUUUCGGUGUAGGAUGAGCUCGCGGCCUAUCAGCUUGUUGGUGGGGUAAUGGCCUACCAAGGCGGCGACGGGUAGCCGGCCUGAGAGGGUGGACGGCCACAUUGGGACUGAGAUACGGCCCAGACUCCUACGGGAGGCAGCAGUGGGGAAUAUUGCACAAUGGGCGCAAGCCUGAUGCAGAGACGCCGCGUGGGGGAUGACGGCCUUCGGGUUGUAAACUCCUUUCGCUAGGGACGAAGCUUUUUGUGACGGUACCUAGAUAAGAAGCACCGGCUAACUACGUG
rnacentral:rRNA from 1 species